rnacentral:rRNA from 1 species
AUUGAACGCUGGCGGCAUGCCUUACACAUGCAAGUCGAACGGUAACAGGUCUUCGGAUGCUGACGAGUGGCGAACGGGUGAGUAAUACAUCGGAACGUGCCUAGUAGUGGGGGAUAACUACUCGAAAGAGUGGCUAAUACCGCAUGAUAUCUACGGAUGAAAGCAGGGGAUCGCAAGACCUUGUGCUACUAGAGCGGCCGAUGGCAGAUUAGGUAGUUGGUGGGAUAAAAGCUUACCAAGCCGACGAUCUGUAGCUGGGCUGUGAGGACGAUCAACCACACGGGGACUGAGAACCGGCCCAGUCUCCUACGGGAGGCAGCAGUGGGGAAUUUUGUACAGUGGGCGAAAGCCUGAUCCAGCAAUGCCGCGUGCAGGAUGAAGGCCUUCGGGUUGUAAACUGCUUUUGUACGGAACGAAAAGCCCCGGGUUAAUACCCUGGGGUCAUGACAGUACCGUAAGAAUAAGCACCGGCUAACUACGUGCCAGCCGCCGCUGUAA